rnacentral:misc_RNA from 1 species
AUCAAAUUGAAUUUUGAUGGUUUCAGCUGAUAAUGAAAAUUUAUGUGGAUUGUGUUAUUAGCAAUUCCGUAUGCCAUAUUAAAAAUCUAAGUAGAUUGAUGUGAGUUCAUCAUCCCUUUGCUCAAGCUUGUCUCAGUAGUAAGCAGUUAUACUUUUUGUAUAAAGAAGAUUGGUUACUUGUGGUUUACUGGUAAGUAGGGGCUCCUUGGAGAAUAGUUGUUAUAAUUUAAGUUUUUAAGAAUUUUGUGAACUAAAUGAAUUUAUAAUGGUUGUUUCUCAUGGUUUGUAGAUAGGAUACUUGUGUGAUUAGUCAUUUGGCUAGAUUCUGACUAUGUAUCUGGAUGAUUUUAUGAAUUGUGCUUAAUUACUAUCUUGAUGAAAAUUAACGUUCUGAAAAAAGAAAUAGAGGAAAAUUCUAUUGGGUUCUGGUUAAGGCGCUUGCUUUAAAGUGCAGUUGGCCAAAAUAUUGACAUUGCUUAGAACCUCAUAAUUCAUUUCAUAUUGGUUUCUUUUUUAUUUUCAUUUUUUAUUUAUUGUUCUUGUAGGUUUAUCAUGAUUCACUUCUUGUUUUUCACUUCGAUAAACAAUGCCCAAGAGUUCAUAUCUUUAUUUGAUAAUUACUUCUGAAACAAGAAUGAAAAUGCUCAUAUUUUGUGCUAUUCUCUUCAUGAACUGCUUUUCUGCUUGAUUGCAUUCAGUUGGUGGUUCAAG